UUGAAAAAAAAAUUUGUCAACCAAGAUGAAUCUUUUUCUUGUUCGAUUGUUUUACAGAUUGGUGGUGGAAGUGCAACUCGGCGGAUCCGUACUGGUUCGACGGCGGCGGAAACUCCUCCUGUUUCAAAGAUGCUUCUAUGAAAUUUGGUUCUGGUUUGUGAAUAUUUUUUUAUUCAUGAGUGACUCCACUAACAGUGUUUCUCCUUCCUCUGGUUACGCCUCCAUCUCCUUGGCCGACCAAAUUCUCCAUUUUUCUCAAUUUCGAUCUGGGCACGAAUCUGUUUGUGUAGGAUUUGAGAAAUCACUUUGUGGGUUUUGCUUUAUAGACCAUUUUGUUUCAUAAAAUCUUUCCUUUUACAAGUGGGGUGGGGAUCUUGAUGAACUCACAUCUUGGAUUUGUUUCUUACUUAUCAUGUUAAGAGCGGUUGGCUACUUUGGUUUUCUAAUUUUAAUCACGGGUUGUUAACAAAUUUUGAUUCUUUUUUUUUUUUUGAAUAUGAGACUUGUGCCUUUGUGUGAGUUUGAUCAAGAUUAUGUAUUUGCAUUGUACUGUCUAAGAGUCGUCCACGUGUACUUACUUACUUAGCAACCAAUGUUUUCUUGGUUUGUGAUUUGCAGAGUCUUCAGCGGAGUCGAAGGAGUGGAGAUGGAAACAGAGCCAUUGUGCGUGAGUCUCGCCACUGGCAUGAUGUAUUAUGGUUAAACAUCGAUAGGUCUCUUGGAGAAUCAUAAAGGGCUCACCGAGGACUACUGGCCUCUUUAUGCUGUUGAUGGUGGGAUUGGAGUCUUUAUUAGUUGGGUUUGACAGUUCUUCUGGGGGGGUGCAUUUGCCGUCGGAGCUCUGUUGCAGUUCUUGCAUGUUAUUUCACUUAUUGACAGACUUCCCCUCACGAUGCUGGUUCUGCGGAAAGCGCUGAAAUUAGUUUGGGGACUUCCUAAGGUGAUAAUGGUGGCGCAUGCUUUCACAGUGGUCAUGCUUUUGUGGAUGUCUCUAGGGUCUUUUGGAGCAGCUGGUGUUGUGGCAUCGAAUAUGAGCGAUGAAGGACGCUGGUGGCUUCUUGUGAUCUUCACCACUAGCAUCUGUUUGCUCGGAGCCUAAUGAGAUUAAACACCACUGGCAAUGUGAUGGACUAGCCCUUUGCACUAUGUUAACACACUGAUUACAGAUGCAACUACGAGUAUUGUCGUCAGUUUAUUCUUUCAUCCUCCAACUUUUUACCUUUUUUUAACUGUUUUCAUAUCAGAAAUCCAAUAGAAAUGUUGUGUCUUUGUGAAGAGGAUUGCCACGAUACUCAUAAGCAUCAAGACCAGUGUGUGACAGGAGCGAUUAUUAUAGUCCACUGUGAGUGAGAUUAUUAUAGUGAAUCUGAUUCUAAAGCUUCAGUCUGAGUUCUAUGGGACAUUGAGCCAUUAUUUGUGUUUGUCUAACCAAAAUAUAUAUCUAAUAUCUAUGUACAAAAUAUAUUCUGCUUGAUGUGUUUCUUUUUUUUCUUUUCCAGCUCUAGUUCUCCAACUCAAUUCACCAUUGUAAGUAAAACUCUUUCAAUCUUAGUUCCAGUAUCAUGAAUAAAUGUGUGUGUGUGGAAACUAUGCAGUUUGUUGAAGACUUUCAAAAGUAUUAGAAGCACAAUGAGCAGCUGAAAAGAUUGGAUUCACUACAAGUAAGAAAGGCUGUUAAGGAUGAUGGUGUUAUUCUUCCAAAACUUUAGAUUACAGAAAUUAGUUAUUUAUUGUAUGUACUGUAACUAUGUAAGUAAAAUAUGUUUUGUGCAAUGAAUGUUCUUCAUA